UAAGGAAUAUUGGUCAAUGGACGCAAGUCUGAACCAGCCAUGCCGCGUGAAGGAUGAAGGUCCUCUGGAUUGUAAACUUCUUUUAUCUGGGACGAAAACGGGAUUUUUAUCUCAAUUGACGGUACCAGAGGAAUAAGCACCGGCUAACUCCGUGCCAGCAGCCGCGGUAAUACGGAGGAUCCGAGCGUUAUCCGGAUUUAUUGGGUUUAAAGGGUGCGUAGGCGGAAAGAUAAGUCAGCCUGUGAAAGUUUGCGGCUCAACCGUAAAAUUGCAGUUGAUACUGUUUGUCUUGAGUGUAGAUAAGGUAGGCGGAAUUCGUGGUGUAGCGGUUAAAUGCUUAGAUAUCACGAAGAACUCCGAUUGCGAAGGCAGCUUACCGGGGUACAACUGACGCUGAUGCACGAAAGUGUGGGUAUCAAACA
rnacentral:rRNA from 1 species